AGUCGAACGGCAGCGCGAGAGAGCUUGCUCUCUUGGCGGCGAGUGGCGGACGGGUGAGUAAUAUAUCGGAACGUGCCCAGUAGCGGGGGAUAACUACUCGAAAGAGUGGCUAAUACCGCAUACGCCCUACGGGGGAAAGGGGGGGAUCGCAAGACCUCUCACUAUUGGAGCGGCCGAUAUCGGAUUAGCUAGUUGGUGGGGUAAAGGCUCACCAAGGCAACGAUCCGUAGCUGGUUUGAGAGGACGACCAGCCACACUGGGACUGAGACACGGCCCAGACUCCUACGGGAGGCAGCAGUGGGGAAUUUUGGACAAUGGGGGAAACCCUGAUCCAGCCAUCCCGCGUGUAUGAUGAAGGCCUUCGGGUUGUAAAGUACUUUUGGCAGAGAAGAAAAGGUAUCCCCUAAUACGGGAUGCUGCUGACGGUAUCUGCAGAAUAAGCACCGGCUAACUACGUGCCAGCAGCCGCGGUAAUACGUAGGGUGCAAGCGUUAAUCGGAAUUACUGGGCGUAAAGCGUGUGUAGGCGGUUCGGAAAGAAAGAUGUGAAAUCCCAGGGCUCAACCUUGGAACUGCAUUUUUAACUGCCGAGCUAGAGUAUGUCAGAGGGGGGUAGAAUUCCACGUGUAGCAGUGAAAUGCGUAGAUAUGUGGAGGAAUAC
rnacentral:rRNA from 1 species